rnacentral:tRNA from 1 species
GGCCCUGUGGUGAAGUUCAUAUUGAGUUGCAAGCUCAUUGAUGUACAUUGAGAAUGUACCGGGGUCU